CCUGCGCAGGCGCGGUGACCGCCCAAUGGACCGAAACCGCACCUAGGCAUUUACGGUAAAGCCAGUGAGUAGAAGGAAAAGUGAGGAUGGUGCUAAUAGUGGGGGGCGGGGUUGGGGGAGCCGGCAAAGAGUGUGCCCAGUACAUGCUGCUACGGUCCAGAGCAGAGGCUCUUCUGGUGAACUGAACUUCAGACUACCCCAGGUUUACUCUUGGCCAUAUUUCAGAUGCCCUAAGCUUAAAGAAGAUCCAGCCAGUCCAUCCUAAAGGAGAUCAGUUCUGGGUGUUCAUUGGAACGACUUAUGCUGAAGCUGAAACUCCAAUACUUUGGCCACCUCAUGCGAAGAGUUGACUCAUUGGAAAAGACCCUGAUGCUGGGAGGGAUUGGGGGCAGGAGGAGAAGGGGACGACAGAGGAUGAGAUGGCUGGAUGGCAUCACCGACUCGAUGGACAUGAGUUUGAGUAAACUCCGGGAGUUAGUGAUGGACAGGGAUGCCUGGCGUGCUGCGAUUCAUGGGGUCGCAAAGAGUCGGACAUGACUGAGCGACUGAACUGAACUGAACUGAGACUUAAAAGAAACCUGAAAAGUCAUAAGGUUGCCCUCAUCUUAAUUAAGAGAAAAGUGGGCAGGAAGCAGAACUGGAAGAUGCUGGAAUGAAUUCAAACCUGAUGUAAAGCCGUCUGCUUGCACUAACAAGUUGUGCAGUGUUGCUGGCCGAUUCGAGGGUCUUGGGGAUGUCUGUCCAUGAACUCUUAGCCUAUCUUCAAGUCUCCAUACACCAGCAGAUGUCAGACUUCUUUCCAAAAGAAUCCUCACCCCUUCUCUCCAUCCCACCUCCCUGCCUAGAGGAAAGGAAGUGGACAAUCCGAUAAGUUAAAAUUUAUCUUCAAGGACUUUUACUACCUAGUGGUAGCUGCCUAUGAAAAUGCCAAUCUCCACUUGUAUUUCAACUUUAAUUCAACUUUGUCCUCUGUGGCUGGCUUUAUCUGGAAAGGGAAUGGUUCAUCUUGGUAAUUGCUUGAAUCUGCCCUUUGGAACUCAGGGAAGAUCUAGAAGGCCGAAACCUUUUUCCUACAAAUGAGAAAUGGAGGAACAUGGAAGAGCUUUUGUACUCAGGAGGGCUCGGCACUGUCCUGCUCAGUUUUUAGACCAUCCUACUUAUCCCAUAAGCACUCCAAUCCUUCUGCCUUCAGGGAGGCAGAUCUGAGACUUGUUCUCCCAUCUCUUCACUUGGCUGUCUUGUGUAUAAAAUUUCUUUGACUGUAAACCUUGGCGUUUCGGUAUUUGGCUUGCUGCACAUUGGGCAAAUGGACCUGAUUCAGUAACACUAACUGUGCUAGCACCUUGAUUUUGGUUUUCCAGCCUCCAGAACUGUUGAGAAAAUGAAUUUGUUGUUUAAGCCACCCAGUCCAUGGUAUAUUGUCACGGCAGCUCUAGCAGACUUGAUACACACCUCCAACAUGCUUGUACUAUGUGACAACCACUGCUGGAGAUGAUGUCCUGAGGUCGGACAUUUUGGCUUAGUGGUUCCCAAUGUUUGGGCCCCAAAUUUCUGACAACUAUGGAGUUGGUUACAACCAAGAACCCUUGUGCUAUUGCAUAGCAUGCAAAAUAAAG